ACCCAGAAAAAUAUAUAUCGCAAAAAUAACAACGAAUCAAAUAAAAACGCGAUAAACAUAGCUGAAAAGAACAGAGCCUUUAAUGUUCUUUUGUUUAGGGGAAUUGUUCUUUUGUUCAAGGGCAUUGUUCUUUUUUCUGGGAAUUUAAUAAAAACGCGCGUUUUAUGUUUAAUGUUGGUCGUUUUGAUCCCGGUGCACCUAGAGCUACGUGCACACGCCUGUACCAUCCAAUUUGCGGUUUGUGAUAACCUUUGUGUAUUCUAGCUUUUAGAAAAUAUUUUAUAAAAAGAAAAACCUAAUUAAUUACUUAUACUUUUUUAAGGUAAUUAAUUAUCCGUACUUGUAUUGUUAUAGCCGCAUAGGGGGUUCCAUACUUGCAUAUCCAUCUUGAGAUCUAAAACCCAAAAAUACGAAUCAUUCACAUAAUCUCUCAAAAGUAAACUCCAGCAAAAACUUAGCACCGCCUUUCCCACCGAACCUUUCACCGAUCUCCUCCGUUUACCACCAACUCCAGUGCACCGCCUUUAACCACCGCCUCCCAAACUUCGGUCAAUGUCGUGUGUCCCGCAACUUUCAUUAAUUUGAGAUCUUUGAUGUCAUUGCAGGUCUGUCAAAAUCCAAAGACAAUGCCGAAGAUGUCAAGCAGAUUAAUUUUCUAUUUUUCAAUCGGAGUUCAUGAUUUCACAACUUUCUUAUUAUUGUGAAUCAACUAUCACUUAUUUUAUAGGAACAAUUGUUCAUAUUUUGUAUUCUACUACGAGUAUUGUAUAAGAUAAAAUUGUAAACAAAUUAUUUCAUGGGAGCAAUAAAAUAUUCAUAUUUGAAUA